AUUGAACGCUGGCGGCAUGCUUUACACAUGCACGUCGAACGAGUGGCGAACGGGAGAGUAAUAUAUCGGAACGUACCGAGUAAUGGGGGAUAACCAAUCGAAAGAUUGGCUAAUACCGCCUAUUAUUCGAGCGGCCGAUAACGGAUUAGCUAGUUGGUGGGGUAAAGGCCUACCAAGGCGACGUUCAGUAGCUGGUCUGAGAGGACGAUCCGCCACACUAGGAAUGAGACACGGCCCAGACUCCUACGGGGGGCAGCAGUGGGGAAUUUUGGGCCAUGGGGGCAACCCGGAUCCAGCCAUGCCGCGUGUAUGAAGAAGGCCUUCGGGUUGUAAAGUACUUUUGUUAGGGAAGCGGUACCUAAAGAAUAAGCACCGGCUAAAUACGUGCCAGCCGCCGCGGUAAUAC
rnacentral:rRNA from 1 species